UCUGCCAGCGGAGGGAGGGGCCCGGCCGUGCGGGUGGCGCGCGCGGCAGAAGGGGAUUCUCCCCCUCCGCGCGCGCGCGCGCGCCACCGGCCGUUUCCUCGCGGAGUCGGGAGGAAGUGAAACCGCUGGAGCCACUCAGCUGAGAAUCGCGUCACCCGCCCCUCUGCCUUGUCCCGCUUCGCCGGGAGCGUCCGGGGGGCAAGGAGAGGCGCCGAGCUGCGGAACGUUGUGAGCCGGCCUCGUCGCCUCCCGCUCCCUCCCCCUCCCCCCACCUGUGCACGUGAGGCGGCGGUUGCCCCGCACAGGGCUGGGCGAGACGCGGGGCCGAGCGGGCCAGUCAGAGGAGAGACGCUCCCAUUGAAGGGUAGUUCCUGUUCUCUCCUAUGCUGUUCUGAGCUUUAAGCACAAACACACCCCGACCGCUAUUUUUAACCCAGAUUUUGUAAACUAGUUGUUGAAAACUCAGAGGACGCUGAAGAUGGAUAUCUCUGAAGAGAACACACAGAGUAACUUCUUCCAACUGUACCCUUCCCCAUAUAACUCUUAUGUCGAAAUCCAUUGUUCUGUCUUAUGGAAGGAAGAUGCAAGCUACCUUCUGAGGACUCUCCAAAAGAUACAGAAGACAGCCUUCUGCUCAGAACAGGGGUGCUUGAAUCUGCAACGUGUUAAUGUUCCAAGUGAACAGCCAAGAAGAGACCUCAGAUUAAUGGCAUUUACGCUGCUGGAAUAUCAGUAAGGAGAAGAGUGAAGCGAAAGGAGUUCUGAAUCCCAGAAUGGAAGGAAACCUGGAUGAUUAAGAAGUAUUGAGGGAGAUGGUGAAUUCCAUCAGAAGUAGGAAAAAUCAUACCUGCUCCCAUGUCAAACUGCUGGAAGAAUUUGAACAAGAUGUUCCCAUGAGCCACCUCCAUUAUAGCCUUAACAGAAGGGAUUUAAUAUAUCUAAGAGAGUAAAAAUACAGACACAGAACUAUAAAUGCAGCAUCUGGGGAGAGUCUGCAGUCACAAGGAGCACAAACUGCCUCAGAAACAAGCAUAGACCUGCUUUGUUGGAGUUCUGAAAGAUGAGAACAUCUAUAAGUUUUGUCUCUUCGAAAAAAAUAAGUAUAAAUUAUUAGUCUGAUUUGUGUAAGAUGUAAUGAUAUGACAGAUCAGAAGUUACAUAUAUAUUAUA